rnacentral:rRNA from 1 species
UACGGAGGGUGCAAGCAUUGAUCGGAAUUACUGGGCGUAAAGGGCGCGCAGGCGGAAAGAAAAGUCGGAUGUGAAAUUCCGGGGCUCAACCCCGGAGCUGCAUUUGAAACUUUCUAUAGAGUACAGUUAGGGUAAACGGAAUUCCACGUGUAGCGGUGAAAUGCGUAGAUAUGUGGAAGAACACCGGUGGUGAAGACGGUUUACUGGGCUGAAACUGACGCUGAGGCGCGAAAGCAUGGGGAGCAAACAGG